rnacentral:snoRNA from 1 species
CUUGGUCACCUGAUGAUACCCAAUUAUGCAUAGUUCAUCUGAUUACAUCUGAUGACAACUUACAUCAAAUAGUCUUUCGCUCCCAUCUGACUUCA